GAAUAAAUUAACAGCCUCUUUCUCUUUCUGAAGAGGUAGAUUGCCACUCGAACGGAAAGAAUAGGAAGAGGAAAUAGAAAUUCUGACAAUUGAGUUGUUUCUGCUACUGCUAUUUCUUCCGUUCUUCUCAUCAAUAGAGACUCCAGUUUCAUUGAUUUCGU
ensembl:ncRNA DY3.10 ncRNA